rnacentral:rRNA from 1 species
UACGGAGGGGGCGAGCGUUAUUCGGAAUUAUUGGGCGUAAAGGGCGCGUAGGCGGCCCUGUAAGUCAAAGGUGAAAUCCCUCGGCUCAACUGAGGAACUGCCUUUGAAACUGCAGGCUUGAGGCCGGGAGGGGGUAGGCGGAAUUCCCAAUGUAGCGGUGAAAAUGCGUAGAUAUUGGGAGGAACACCAGUGGCGAAGGCGGCUACCUGGAC